ensembl:miRNA
AGGUGGGAGGAUCGCUUGAGCCCAGGAGAUGGAGGUUGCAGUGAGCUGAGAUCGCACUACUGCACACCAGCCUGGGCAACAGAG